rnacentral:rRNA from 1 species
UACGAAGGGGGCUAGCGUUGCUCGGAAUCACUGGGCGUAAAGGGUGCGUAGGCGGGUCUUUAAGUCAGGGGUGAAAUCCUGGAGCUCAACUCCAGAACUGCCUUUGAUACUGAAGAUCUUGAGUUCGGGGAGAGGUGAGUGGAACUGCGAGUGUAGAGGUGAAAUUCGUAGAUAUUCGGAGGAACACCAGUGGCGAAGGCGGCUCACUGGUCCGGUACUGACGCUGAGGUGCGAAAGCGUGGGGAGCAAACAGG